rnacentral:rRNA from 1 species
GACGAACGCUGGCGGCGUGCCUAAUACAUGCAAGUUGAGCGCUGAAGGUUGGUACUUGUGCCAACUGGAUGAGCAGCGAACGGGUGAGUAACGCGUGGGGAAUCUGCCUUUGAGCGGGGGACAACAUUUGGAAACGAAUGCUAAUACCGCAUAAAAACUUUAAACACAAGUUUUAAGUUUGAAAGAUGCAAUUGCAUCACUCAAAGAUGAUCCCGCGUUGUAUUAGCUAGUUGGUGAGGUAAAGGCUCACCAAGGCGAUGAUACAUAGCCGACCUGAGAGGGUGAUCGGGCACAAUUGGACUGGGACACGGCCCCAACUCCUACGGGAGGCAGCAGUAGGGGAUCUUCGGCCAUGGACGAAAGUCUGACCGGGCAACGCCGCGUGAGUGAAGAAGGUUUUCGGAUCGGAAAACUCUGUUUGUAGAGAAGAAAGUUGGUGAGAGUGGAAAGCUCAUCAAGUGACGGUACCUAACCAGAAAGCGACGGCUAACUACGUG